rnacentral:rRNA from 1 species
CCUACGGGUGGCAGCAGUGGGGAAUAUUGCACAAUGGUGGAAACCCUGAUGCAGCGACGCCGCGUGAGCGAAGAAGUAUUUCGGUAUGUCACGCUCUAUCAGCAGGGAAGAAAAUGACGGUACCUGAGUAAGAAGCGCCGGCUAAAUACGUGCCAGCCGCCGCGGUAAUACGUAUGGAGCAAGCGUUCUCCGGAUUUACGGGGUGUAAAGGGAGCGCAUGCGGGCUUGCAAGUCUGAGGUGAAAUACCGUGGCUCAACCCCGGAGCUGCAUUGGACACUGUGUUGCUUGAGUGUCGGAGAGGCAGGCGGAAUUCCUAGUGUAGCGGUGAAAUGCGUAGAUAUUAGGAGGAACACCAGUGGCGAAGGCGGCCUGCUGGACGAUGACUGACGCUGAGGCUCGAAAGCGUGGGGAGCAAACAGGAUUAGAUACCCCAGUAGUC